rnacentral:rRNA from 1 species
GUCUAUGGCCAUGCUACGCUGAAUAAAUCUGAUCCUGUCUGAUCUUGGAAGCUAAGCAGGGUCAGGCCUGGUUAGUUCUUGGAUGGGAGACCACCUAGAAAGACCAGGUGCUGUAGGCA